CUGGGAUGAGCUAACUUGUAUGUGAUGAAAAAGUUCAAGUUUGGGGUUGUACGGGGAAAAAUUGAUAAAACAAAUGAAAGGCAUUGAGCUCAAUUGUUGUGAGAAGAGAAAAUUCAUGAGAAAAAGAAAAGAAAAGAAGAAAANCAUGAAGAAGAGCUCAAUGCAAAAGAAAAAGAAAAGGGAAAAAUUGGGAAUGAGAGACAUUGGUGAGAGUGGUGCUUAAACGUUGAAAAUUUUGUUAGCUCUCUUGAUUCAAGGAUUUUGCAUUCUAGAAAAAACAAUUCUUUCUUGUUAGCCUAAAUCUCAUUACAAUCCUUGGAAAAGUCCUUUUGAUGGCAUUUGCAUGUAACGAUGUUGAUUGUUUGAGAUGAAUGGCAAUUUUGUUUUAUGAGACUUGUGAAUAAUUGAGAGUUGGAGUGUCACCUUAAACACUUGAGUGAUUGAGUGAAACACUUGCUUGGUAUGAUUUGAUAAUUUUCAGGAGUACAGUUUUGCUUAGUGGAUUGAUCAUUCAUAGUAUAUAACAUCUAUUGUGAAAUCUCUGGGUUGAAAGCAUGCAUGCAUCUUAUUUUGGAUUUCACUNAGGAUAUUGAAUUGAGUGGUUUUGUCUUGUACCUUGGGAUUGUUGAAGCAUUGGAUGAAACAAUAUAAAGCCAAGUUUUGUUUUGUGUGAUUGUUUUGUUUGUUUUGCUUGAGGACAAGCAAAAUUCUAAGUUUNNN
rnacentral:lncRNA from 1 species